GACGAACGCUGGCGGCGUGCUUAACACAUGCAAGUCGAACGAUGAAGCUGGAGCUUGCUCCGGUGGAUUAGUGGCGAACGGGUGAGUAACACGUGGGCAAUCUGCCCUUGACUCUGGGAUAACUGCGGGAAACUGUAGCUAAUACCGGAUACGAGGCUCGAAGGCAUCUUCGGGUCUGGAAAGAAUUUCGGUCAAGGAUGAGCUCGCGGCCUAUCAGCUUGUUGGUGAGGUAAUGGCUCACCACGGCGACGACGGGUAGCCGGCCUGAGAGGGUGAUCGGCCACACUGGGACUGAGACACGGCGCAGACUCCUACGGGAGGCAGCAGUGGGGAAUAUUGCACAAUGGGCGAAAGCCUGAUGCAGCAACGCCGCGGGAGGGAUGAAGGCCUUCGGGUUGUAAACCUCUUCUAGCAGGGAAGAAGCGAAAGUGACGGUACCUGCAGAAAAAGAACCGGCUAACUACGUGCCAGCCGCCGCCGUAA
rnacentral:rRNA from 1 species